rnacentral:lncRNA from 1 species
AGCAUCGUAAGUCAGAAACUUUCUUUUAAGAAGAGAAAUGCUUUCCUUUAAAAGAUAUAGGAGAAGUGUGAAGACCUAUUAUUGAUUGAUACUCUAUAAUUGGCUAAGGUAUGGGAAGCUUACCUUUAUUUUAUUGUGUGAUGAAUUUAGAGAUAGCUUUGAUUUCUUGGAAAGCAUGAAAAAACGUAUAUUUGUUAUUUUAUUUGAUGAUGUGAUGAAUGUUGAUAUAUUCUUAAAUUAUUUGAUUAUGCAAUCAAUUAUUUGGAUGACUGUUAAAUAAAAGUUUGAAUGUUUAGAAUCCAUGAUUGGAUAUUUGUACGUAUGAAAUUGAUAAAUAUCAGUUUAUCCUUUUUUUUGGUUUAUGAUUCUGUCACACACAUAACAUUGAUUUCCUUUUAAUACAUGUAUAAUUUUUGAAUAUUAAAAGGGGAAUUGUGGUUUAAUGGCCGUUGGAAGCAUUUGGGGUGGAACCUUAAAUUACUGUGGAGAGAGAAACCCUAAGUUUCUUUCCUUUUAUUUGCUUUUCCCUUAAAAAGGAAAAUGAUUGUAUUACAGUAGGUUUUUAUUCAUGUUGCUUACCUUUUUGAUAAAAUAAAGAAAAAUAAAAUAAGAAUAGUUUAACAAAUGGCAGUAACGUAAUGAUGCUAUCUUACAUUUCUUUAGUAAAUAAUGGUAUACGUUAGGAUGAAAUCCUAGAUCAAGUUCUGCAUUUUAACGUUUCUAAGCAGAACCUUCUCCCAGCUUUGAGUUCCUUUCUCGCGAGCAGUAGGUAUGCUCCUUUUGUUUUUAUCAUGCGUAACCCAGAAGCCUGAAGUUGCUGCUUUUUUUCUUCACUGCGACUGACUCAACGUCGGCGAGAGCACGACGACGGCGCGGUAGAGGCACGUUGAGGGCACGACAUUCCCUCAUAGCAGUGUGUGUUGGUGGCGACUUUUAUGGUUCACGGGCAGAGGCUUUGGGUUUUGGGUGUUCACCAAAUUUUUGGAUUGCUUUUUCGGGUUUGGGUUGGUUUUAAUCUUCUACAGGUCUGGUUUUCUUGAUUGGGAUUGGGGUUCUGAUGGAGAUGGUUAGGGUUUUGAAUUGGAAAAAUUAUUUUAGGGUAAUCGUUGUUCGUGUUAUGUUUCUUCGUUUACUUCGGUGUAUCUGUACCUACUGUGAAGAGGAAUUGAGGUUGAGCGAGGAUGAACAAGAACGUAUUUUUGGCCUACGACCAAGUUGCUCUCGGUCUGGGCCGCCUAAGUGAGUUUGUAGACUCAAAGUUGAAAUUGGGAUUAGUCUUUGAUUUCGUAAUUGAGUCUGUAGACUCCCAGAAUGCACUCUAUUUAGUUUUGAAUUUUUAAUGGUAGAAAAGAAAAAUUAAAAAUUCAAUAAUAUCAAUAAUAAUCAGAAUUUUUAACUGGACUGGUUAUACUUACAGGUUCAGUGGUUGGAUUUAAUCUGGGAUGUGU